rnacentral:rRNA from 1 species
AUUGAACGCUGGCGGCAUGCUUUACACAUGCAAGUCGAACGGUAACAGGCCGCAAGGUGCUGACGAGUGGCGAACGGGUGAGUAAUGCAUCGGAACGUGCCCAGUCGUGGGGGAUAACUACUCGAAAGAGUAGCUAAUACCGCAUACGAUCUAUGGAUGAAAGCGGGGGGCCGUAAGGCCUCGCGCGAUUGGAGCGGCCGAUGUCAGAUUAGGUAGUUGGUGGGGUAAAGGCUCACCAAGCCAACGAUCUGUAGCUGGUCUGAGAGGACAACCAGCCACACUGGGACUGAGACACGGCCCAGACUCCUACGGGAGGCAGCAGUGGGGAAUUUUGGACAAUGGGCGCAAGCCUGAUCCAGCAAUGCCGCGUGCAGGAAGAAGGCCUUCGGGUUGUAAACUGCUUUUGUACGGAACGAAACGGCUCUGGUUAAUACCCGGGGCUAAUGACGGUACCGUAAGAAUAAGCACCGGCUAACUACGUG